rnacentral:tRNA from 1 species
UUCCUGGAGGGCUAGUGGUUAGGCCAUGGUGCUCUCAUCACUGCAGCCUGGGUUCGAGUCCAGCCAGGGAA